AAAAUAUUAUUAUCUUAUUAUUUUAUCGAUUUAUGUCAAAUUUUGAACCAACGUAAACUGGGACCGACGAAAUUUAUUAAUUUAUCGAAUAUUAAUUUAUAGAGGUUCUACUGUAUAUGGAUGCAGAUUAUUAUGAAUUUCAUCGCUUGCUCCACUCCCUUUCCUUUCUUUUCUUUACGUUUCAAACACAAGCUAUGACAAUGGCCAAUUCCCAGCUCUUACUUUAUGAGUUGUAAAGGGAUAAACAUAAAGAUUUCCUAUUCCUAAUAUAUAUGAUUUAAACUUUAUCUCUAUUGUACCUUUACUUAGAUAACUUAGGAUCUCAUAUGUUGUAUAUAUACUCAUUACAUUGGAUCAAUAAACUCACGCUUUCAUAACAUAUUUCAAGUUGAAGUCCGGUCAUUCUUGACUGAUAGUUGUGACGCGCUAUAAAGCACGAGGACACCUAUUGUGUAAAGUCUCUGAAACGUUUCCAAGACGACUUCCUAGAUCAUUCGUCUUGUCUGGUUUGUAAAUCAAGUGUAAAGGAUGAUUAUGAGGUUGUGAUGAUGAUGAUGAUGAUGAUGAUGAUGGUUCAGUGUUUCAAUUCAUAGAUUGCCGUUUGAGAAUGUAUAGGUUACGACAACGACAAUCAUUCAACAGAACAACGUACGUCCUCUAUGAUCUUUCAUCAAGCUUUGCCGAGUUAUUAAUGAAUAUUUAAAGCUGGACAAGAAUGCAAUUGAGAAAUAGGCGCCUCCUUUUAUCAAAAAAAAAGAGGCACCUCCUUCUCCCCUCCCAAGGUUCCAGGUGUACUCCUUCUGCAAAACCUUGACCUUAUGGACACAAGUACACAUGUUCGGUUUUAUGUACAUAGACUGGUGUAUAUAUAUAUCAAAACUUAUUUUCCCGAAUUUUGUUCUAACAUAUUCUUUAAUUCACCCUUUUGAUUCUUCUCUCAGGAUCUCCGGUCAAUCUCCCUAGCAAGAGUUGGUUGCAAAGGUUUUGCAUGCAAAUGAGUGACGUUUCCAAGGUGAGCCACGAAGCCAUUUGCUUCAGAGUGGGAUGGAGCAUGUUUUGUUUCAUUGAUAUGAAGUAUCUAAUUCUUAUAUAUGUGCGAGAAUGCAGAAUUAUGUAUGUGAGAGGUGCAAGUCCACAUAGAGUCUGUGAUGAAUAAUACUCCAUAGACAUGAGAUUUAAAUGAGACUUCACGCGGUUUUGAAUUACUAAAUCUACCUAAGAGGACAAAUUAGCUAUCCUUGAGCCUGAAGGUGAUGGUUUCAAUUGGUAUAAGGUGGAAUUGGCCAACCGUGAAUUUUACUUUUGGAAUUAAGGGAAGAUUCCUUACUUGGUUUGCACCGGGUCAAGAGUCAAUCUGUUUCAGAAGAGAGCCUGAAGGAUGCACCAGUUCCUGCGAUUGUUUAUGAGAACUCUAUCAACUGUGAUUUAUUUAUUGUGGAGGUUGAAUAAGAGGCCCUCCUCAGAAUUUUUCAUCAGAAGCCUUGAUAAGAAAGAACCAAUUCCUGAGAUUGUUCCAAUGGCAGCUUUGUGAUGCCCUUUACCAGAAGCUUUAGAAACAGUUGAAUCACUUGAAAAAGGUAUUAAAGAGGAAGAAUUAAGUAAAGGGAAGAUUCAAUACAGAAAAAUGUAUCAAGCCCUGUUCGUUUGUACAUCUGGAAGAUGUAUCCAAAUGGUCCAUCUACAUGUCUUAUCCAGAUGUUCCAUCUGGGUGUUGUUCGUUUCUUCAUUUCGUCCAUGCAUCGAAAUGAAUCAUCUGAAUGCAACUAUGUUCAUUUGCUUUUCAUUUUUUAACUUUCAUCUGCAUCUAGGUGGACUUAUUAAUAAAAUGACUAAAAUAUAAAUUUUUACG